CCUACGGGAGGCAGCAGUCGGGAAUAUUGCGCAAUGGAGGAAACUCUGACGCAGUGACGCCGCGUGCAGGAAGAAGGUUUCGGAUUGUAAACUGCUUUAGACAGGGAAGAAAAAUGACGGUACCUGAGUAAGAAGCACCGGCUAAAUACGUGCCAGCAGCCGCGGUAAUACGUAUGGUGCAAGCGUUAUCCGGAUUUACUGGGGGUAAAGGGAGCGUAGACGGCGAUGCAAGUCUGAAGUGAAAGGCGGGGGCCCACCCCCCGGACUGCUUUGGAAACUGUAUGGCUGGAGUGCAGGAGAGGUAAGGGGAAUUCCUAGUGUAGCGGUGAAAUGCGUAGAUAUUAGGAGGAACACCAGUGGCGAAGGCGGCUUACUGGACUGUAACUGACGUUGAGGCUCGAAAGCGUGGGGAGCAAACAGGAUUAGAUACCCUUGUAGUC
rnacentral:rRNA from 1 species